rnacentral:rRNA from 1 species
UACGUAGGGGGCAAGCGUUAUCCGGAUUUACUGGGUGUAAAGGGAGCGUAGACGGCGGUGCAAGCCAGAUGUGAAAGCCCGGGGCUCAACCCCGGGACUGCAUUUGGAACUGUGCUGCUAGAGUGUCGGAGAGGCAGGCGGAAUUCCUGGUGUAGCGGUGAAAUGCGUAGAUAUCAGGAGGAACACCGGUGGCGAAGGCGGCCUGCGUGGACGGC